UACGUAGGGGGCUAGCGUUGUUCGGAAUUACUGGGCGUAAAGCGCGCGCAGGCGGUUUUUCAAGUCAGUGGUGAAAGCCCGGGGCUCAACCCCGGAACUGCCAUUGAAACUGUUGAACUUGAGGACGAGAGAGGUGAGUGGAAUUCCCAGUGUAGAGGUGAAAUUCGUAGAUAUUGGGAAGAACACCAGUGGCGAAGGCGGCUCACUGGCUCGUUUCUGACGCUCAGGCGCGAUAGCGUGGGGAUCAAACAGG
rnacentral:rRNA from 1 species